rnacentral:rRNA from 1 species
GUAGGGAAUCUUGCGCAAUGGGCGAAAGCCUGACGCAGCCAUGCCGCGUGAAUGAUGAAGGUCUUAGGAUUGUAAAAUUCUUUCACCGGGGACGAUAAUGACGGUACCCGGAGAAGAAGCUCCGGCUAACUUCGUGCCAGCAGCCGCGGUAAUACGAAGGGGGCUAGCGUUGCUCGGAAUUACUGGGCGUAAAGGGCGCGUAGGCGGAUAUUUAAGUCGGGGGUGAAAGCCCGGGGCUCAACCUCGGAAUAGCCUUCGAUACUGGAUAUCUUGAGUACGGGAGAGGUGUGUGGAACUCCGAGUGUAGAGGUGAAAUUCGUAGAUAUUCGGAAGAACACCAGUGGCGAAGGCGACACACUGGCCCGUUACUGACGCUGAGGCGCGAAAGCGUGGGGAGCAAACAGGAUUAGAAACCCGAGUAGUCC